GACGAACGCUGGCGGCGCGCUUAACACAUGCAAGUCGAACGGAAAGGCCUGCUUUCCCUUGUGGAUUGCGGGUACUCGAGUGGCGAACGGGUGAGUAACACGUGAGUGAUCUGCCCCCAACUUGGGUAUAAGCCUGGGAAACUGGGUCUAAUUCCCGAUAGGACUGCAGGGUGGUGCCUGUGGUGGAAAACGAUUUUCUAGUGGUUGGGGAUGAGCUCGCGGCCUAUCAGCUUGUUGGUGGGGUAAUGGCCUACCAAGGCGGCGACGGGUAGCCGGCCUGAGAGGGUGGACGGCCACAUUGGGACUGAGAUACGGCCCAGACUCCUACGGGAGGCAGCAGUGGGGAAUAUUGCACAAUGGGCGGAAGCCUGAUGCAGCGACGCCGCGUGGGGGAUGACGGCCUUCGGGUUGUAAACUCCUUCGACCGCGAGGAAGCCACCUGGUUGGAAGGGUGGUGACGGUAGUGGUAGAAGAAGCACCGGCUAACUACGUG
rnacentral:rRNA from 1 species